UACGGGGGGGGGCAAGCGUUGUUCGGAAUUACUGGGCGUAAAGGGCUCGUAGGCGGCCAACUAAGUCAGACGUGAAAUCCCUCGGCUUAACCGGGGAACUGCGUCUGAUACUGGAUGGCUUGAAUCCGGGAGAGGGAUGCGGAAUUCCAGGUGUAGCGGUGAAAUGCGUAGAUAUCUGGAGGAACACCGGUGGCGAAGGCGGCGACCUGGGACAAUACUGACGCUGAGGUGCGAAAGUGUGGGGAGCGAACAGG
rnacentral:rRNA from 1 species